AGUGCGCAGAUUCAUGCCUACCUGGUCCCGCUCAGCCCGCGAUGCCUGCCAGGAUCGCAGUGGGAGAAGGUACGAGGGACAGGCUGAUUUCUCAGCACAUCAGAGUAAUAGCAGGGAUUUCCUCACUGGCGGUAGGAGAGCGUAUGUUGCACGUGACCAUCAACCAUGUUCCUCUUCUACCUGCCUGGGUGGGAGAUCACAGUGUGGGAGGCAGCAGUGUCCUCACCCAAACAGCUGGGUCAAACGCAAGGGUCGUCCAGCGCAGCGACGUGUCUCCAGUGGCCAGGAGUGGACACCAAGGAACACACGACAGGGCAAGCACCCACUGCUGUUUCCUCAAAAUGCCCUCGCAGCCUUCAGCAGCUUGGAGCUUGAGGACUUCCUGAGACAGCCUUGGCCCCAAGAGGCGAGAACUGGAAGAUAGUGUGCCACAGAGCAAGUAGAAAUGUUCGGUUACCGUCCAGAAGGGAUCCCGCUGGGCCCCUUGGAGCAAAAGGCUGUUGCUGCCUCUUUUAUUUGCGGAGGACAAACACGUGCGGAGCGGAGCAAGCGUUUGGCACGGCUGCCCGUAGCCCUCCGAGGGUGAUCCGGUGUCUGCAGACGAGGCCAGGUUUAUGUGGGCAGGACUGUUAGGACUUCAGAAAUUAAUGCUUCCUGAAAGCAGUAGAUUUCCCUCCGGGAUCACACGGCUUUCAGCCCUGCUCCUGGGUGAAGUUACAAUAUACCCCAACAAAACGAAACCAGUUUUGCUGUACUUCUGCUGUUUUCCUGGCACCAGAGCCACCAGCUCUGACGCCGUGACGUGCUCUCACGGGGACGGUGCGCUUCGAGCUCUUUCGCGUCCGUCCAAAGCUGGCUGCAUACACGCUUUCCGCUGCACGAAGUUUAUGUUACCGCUGUUAUCUUCA